GGAGGAAUACCCAAGUCCGGCUGAAGGGAUCGGUCUUGAAAACCGACAGGGGCUUAACCGCUCGCGGGGGUUCGAAUCCCUCUUCCUCCGCCA
rnacentral:tRNA from 1 species